rnacentral:misc_RNA from 1 species
GUCAAUUGCUUGUUGAAUGGACUGUGGCCUCUCCUACACUAAAAUUUCUCUUCACCAAUCUUUACCUCUUGCGGUGAAGACUUGCUUAUCAUCAUCAACUUGUUUCCUUUCCAACAAUUCCUCCUUCGGCACUUCUUCUGUUGGUUUUAGGAGAUCCUUGUUUGUAGUGGCUACUGGUAGUAGUAGUAAGUGUGAGUUUGGUGGCUUGAACGCGCCGUUAGAACCAGCAACGCCGACUGGGAGGUUGUUGAGCACUCUGCUACUGAAUGAUCGUAAGUAUUUCCACGUUGCUGUUCAGAAACAGUUGGAGAAGUUGGCUAAUGAACGGGAUGAAGCUGUGGCUCGGAUGAAUCUGAGCUUGGGCACUGAUGAAGCUUUUCUGCACAGGCAAAAGAAGU